rnacentral:rRNA from 1 species
GCAGCCACUCAUUCAAAGAGUGCGUAAUAGCUCACUGGUCGAGUGAUCCUGCGCCGAAGAUUUCCGGGGCUAAAACUUACUACCGAAGCUACGGCAUCAGUAAUGAUGGGUAGGGGAGCUUCCCAUACGGGUUGAAGCAUGACCGUAAGGACAUGUGGACAGUAUGGGAGUGAGAAUGUUGGCAUGAGUAGCGAGAUGUGGGUGAGAAUCCCACAGGCCGUAAACCCAAGGUUUCCAGGGGAAGGUUCGUCCGCCCUGGGUUAGUCGGGACCUAAGCUGAGGCCGAAAGGCGUAGGUGAUGGACAACAGGUUGAUAUUCCUGUACUACCGAUAACCAUUUGAGAGAAGGGAUGACACAGUAGGAUAAGCUAAGCACACUGUUGGUUAUGUGUGCCCAAGCAUUGAGGCAGUCAAAGUAGGCAAAUCCGCUUUGAUAAUGCUGGGAUGUGAUGGGGAGCGAAAUUUAGUAGCGAAGUAGCUGAUUUCACACUGUCAAGAAAAGUCUCUAUCGAGGUUAAAGGUACCCGUACCGCAAACCGACACAGGUGGGUGAGGAGAGUAUCCUAAGGCCAGCGAGAGAACUGUUGUUAAGGAACUCGGCAAAAUGACCCCGUAACUUAGGGAUAAGGGGUGCCACCAUCAGGUGGCCGCAGAGAAUAGGCCCAAGCGACUGUUUACCAAAAACAUAGGUUUCUGCUAAGUCGAAAUACGAUGUAUAGGAGCAGACGCAUGCCCGGUGCUGGAAGGUUAAGGGGAUCUGUUAGAGCAAUCGAAGCAGUGAACUUAAGCC